rnacentral:rRNA from 1 species
AGAGUUUGAUCCUGGCUCAGGAUGAACGCUAGCGACAGGCUUAACACAUGCAAGUCGAGGGGCAGCGGGGGUAGCGAUACCCGCCGGCGACCGGCGCACGGGUGAGUAACGCGUAUGCAACUUGCCUAUCAGAGGGGGAUAACCCGGCGAAAGUCGGACUAAUACCGCAUGAAGCAGGGGCCCCGCAUGGGGAUAUUUGCUAAAGAUUCAUCGCUGAUAGAUAGGCAUGCGUUCCAUUAGGCAGUUGGCGGGGUAACGGCCCACCAAACCGACGAUGGAUAGGGGUUCUGAGAGGAAGGUCCCCCACAUUGGUACUGAGACACGGACCAAACUCCUACGGGAGGCAGCAGUGAGGAAUAUUGGUCAAUGGCCGAGAGGCUGAACCAGCCAAGUCGCGUGAGGGAUGAAGGUUCUAUGGAUCGUAAACCUCUUUUAUAAGGGAAUAAAGUGCGGGACGUGUCCCGUUUUGUAUGUACCUUAUGAAUAAGGAUCGGCUAACUCCGUGCCAGCAGCCGCGGUAAUACGGAGGAUCCGAGCGUUAUCCGGAUUUAUUGGGUUUAAAGGGUGCGUAGGCGGCCUUUUAAGUCAGCGGUGAAAGUCUGUGGCUCAACCAUAGAAUUGCCGUUGAAACUGGGGGGCUUGAGUAUGUUUGAGGCAGGCGGAAUGCGUGGUGUAGCGGUGAAAUGCAUAGAUAUCACGCAGAACCCCGAUUGCGAAGGCAGCCUGCCAAGCCAUUACUGACGCUGAUGCACGAAAGCGUGGGGAUCAAACAGGAUUAGAUACCCUGGUAGUCCACGCAGUAAACGAUGAUCACUAGCUGUUUGCGAUACACUGUAAGCGGCACAGCGAAAGCGUUAAGUGAUCCACCUGGGGAGUACGCCGGCAACGGUGAAACUCAAAGGAAUUGACGGGGGCCCGCACAAGCGGAGGAACAUGUGGUUUAAUUCGAUGAUACGCGAGGAACCUUACCCGGGUUUGAACGCAUUCGGACCGAGGUGGAAACACCUUUUCUAGCAAUAGCCGUUUGCGAGGUGCUGCAUGGUUGUCGUCAGCUCGUGCCGUGAGGUGUCGGCUUAAGUGCCAUAACGAGCGCAACCCUUGCCACUAGUUACUAACAGGUAAAGCUGAGGACUCUGGUGGGACUGCCAGCGUAAGCUGCGAGGAAGGCGGGGAUGACGUCAAAUCAGCACGGCCCUUACAUCCGGGGCGACACACGUGUUACAAUGGCGUGGACAAAGGGAGGCCACCUGGCGACAGGGAGCGAAUCCCCAAACCACGUCUCAGUUCGGAUCGGAGUCUGCAACCCGACUCCGUGAAGCUGGAUUCGCUAGUAAUCGCGCAUCAGCCAUGGCGCGGUGAAUACGUUCCCGGGCCUUGUACACACCGCCCGUCAAGCCAUGGGAGCCGGGGGUACCUGAAGUCCGUAACCGCGAGGAUCGGCCUAGGGUAAAACUGGUGACUGGGGCUAAGUCGUAACAAGGUAGCCGUACCGGAAGGUGCGGCUG